rnacentral:rRNA from 1 species
GAUGAACGCUGGCGGCGUGCCUAAUACAUGCAAGUAGAACGCUGAAGGAAGGAGCUUGCUCUUUCCGGAUGAGUUGCGAACGGGUGAGUAACGCGUAGGUAACCUGCCUGGUAGCGGGGGAUAACUAUUGGAAACGAUAGCUAAUACCGCAUAACAGUAGAUAUUACAUGAUAUCUGCUUGAAAGGGGCAAUUGCUCCACUACCAGAUGGACCUGCGUUGUAUUAGCUAGUUGGUGAGGUAACGGCUCACCAAGGCGACGAUACAUAGCCGACCUGAGAGGGUGAUCGGCCACACUGGGACUGAGACACGGCCCAGACUCCUACGGGAGGCAGCAGUAGGGGAUCUUCGGCAAUGGACGGAAGUCUGACCGAGCAACGCCGCGUGAGUGAAGAAGGUUUUCGGAUCGUAAAGCUCUGUUGUAAGAGAAGAACGAGUGUGAGAGUGGAAAGUUCACACUGUGACGGUAUCUACCA